UACGUAGGGUGCGAGCGUUUAAUCGGAAUUACUGGGCGUAAAGCGUGCGCAGGCGGUUCGUUGUGUCGGCGGUGAAAGCCCCGGGCUCACCUGGGAAUGGCCGUUGAAACUGGCGAACUGGAGUGUGGCAGAGGGGGGUGGAAUUCCGCGUGUAGCAGUGAAAUGCGUAGAGAUGCGGAGGAACACCGAUGGCGAAGGCAGCCCCCUGGGCUAAACACUGACGCUCAGG
rnacentral:rRNA from 1 species